AUGUGUGCCGAUGGGCCUUUCGGGAAUCUGGAUAUCGGUUUCUGGAUCGAAGAUUGGUUCAGAAAGAUAGCACCCACCGAGACAGAUUUUUGGCAGGGGAUAGGCACGUAGGCUGGCUUGAGAAGGCACGUAGUGCUCUUCUCGUCGACAAAACUGUGAACAAUGCUCAUCUUCUUCUUGCAAGACAAGUCAGCAAUCUUCCACUUCCAUCUUUCCUCACCAACUACCUUGCCAAAGGAUUCAGUCAGACUGCUCGUAAACGUGUGAAUGGAGUUCUCGGAAAACUGGAUGUGGCCGAGCAAAAAGAACUGCUCAGACGAGAUAUUCGAGCAAUCGAUGAUAUUUUGGGCGACAAAAAGUUCUUGUUUGGUGACAGAAUCACUUCGGUUGAUUGUUCCGUAUUCGGACAAAUCGGUGCCGUAUUCUACCUCCCGUAUCGUCAACAAAUCAGCGAUCUUCUUGAAGACGAUUUUCCACGUGUACGUGCCUACUGUGACCGUAUCCGUCAACACUAUUAUCCCGAGUGGAGAGACGAUUGA
rnacentral:misc_RNA from 1 species